rnacentral:rRNA from 1 species
UACGGAGGGUGCAAGCGUUAUCCGGAUUUAUUGGGCGUAAAGCGUUUCGUAGGCGGACCGACAAGUUAUUUUUCAAAGACCAGGGCUCAACCUUGGAAAGGGGAAUAAUACUGUCGGCCUGGAAGUAUGUCGGGGCUACUGGAACUCACGGUGUAGGAGUGAAAUCCGUUGAUAUCGUGAGGAACACCGAGGGCGAAGGCGGGUAGCUAGGCAUAUCUUGACGCUGAGGAACGACAGCUAGGGGAGCGAAAGGG